rnacentral:rRNA from 1 species
AUUGAACGCUAGCGGGAUGCUUUACACAUGCAAGUCGAACGAGUGGCGGACGGGUGAGUAAUAGAUCGGAAAGUGCCCAGUAGCGGGGGAUAACUACUCGAAAGAGUGGCUAAUAUCGCAUACUAUUGGAGCGGCCGAUACCGGAUUAGCUAGUUGGUGGGGUAAAGGCUCACCAAGGAAACGAGCCGUAGCUGGUUUGAGAGGACGACCAGCCACACUGCGACUGCGACACCGUCCCGACUCCUACGAGCGGCAGCGUUGGAGAAUUUUGGACAGUGGGGGAAGCCCUGGUCCAGCCAUCCCGCGUGUAUGAGAAGGCCUUCUGGUUGUAAAGUACUUUUGUCAUAGAAGCGGUGUCUGCAGGAUAAGCCCCGUCUAACUACGUGCCAGCGGCCGCGGUAAUAC